CUUGGUCAUUUAGAGGAAGUAAAAGUCGUAACAAGGUUUCCGUAGGAGAACCUGCGGAAGGAUCAUUAAAAAAAAGAGAAACGUCCCGUUUUUUUCAUAAGAAUGGGUUCUAUUCCCUUAAACCGUGUCUACAUACCUUUGUUGCUUUGGCAGGCCGCCUUCGGGCGUCGGCUCCGGCUGAUAGUGCCUGCCAGAGGACCCAAACUCUAUGUUUAGUGAUGUCUGAGUACUAUAUAAUAUUUAAAACUUUCAACAACGGAUCUCUUGGUUCUGGCAUCGAUGAAGAACGCAGCGAAAUGCGAUAAGUAAUGUGAAUUGCAGAAUUCAGUGAAUCAUCGAAUCUUUGAACGCACAUUGCGCCCCUUGGUAUUCCGAGGGGCAUGCCUGUUCGAGCGUCAUUAUAACCACUCAAGCCUGGCUUGGUAUUGGGGUUUUCGCGUGUUCGCGGCCCUUAAAAUCAGUGGCGGUGCCGUCUGGCUCUAAGCGUAGUAAUUUCUCUCGCUAUAGGGUUCCGGUGGUUACUUGCCAAAACCCCCCAUUUUUUCUAGGUUGACCUCGGAUCAGGUAGGGAUACCCGCUGAACUUAAGCAUAUCAAUAAGCGGAGG
rnacentral:rRNA from 1 species